UGGGGAAUUUUUGGCAAUGGGGGAAACCCUGACCAAGCAACGCCGCGUGGGUGAUGAAGUCUCUUGGGACGUAAAGCCCUUUCGACGGGGAAGAAACCGCAAGGUUGACGGUACCCGUAGAAGAAGCCCCGGCUAACUCCGUGCCAGCAGCCGCGGUAAUACGGGGGGGGCAAGCGUUGUUCGGAAUUACUGGGCGUAAAGGGUGCGCAGGCGGCUCGCUAAGUUGGAUGUGAAAACUCUGGGCUCAACCCAGUGCCUGCAUCCAAAACUGGCGGGCUCGAGUUCUGGAGGGGGUAGCGGAAUUCCUGGUGUAGCGGUGAAAUGCGUAGAUAUCAGGAGGAACACCGGUGGCGAAGGCGGCUACCUGGACAGAAACUGACGCUCAUGCACGAAAGCUAGGGGAGCAAACAG
rnacentral:rRNA from 1 species